rnacentral:rRNA from 1 species
GAUGAACGCUGGCGGCGUGCCUAAUACAUGCAAGUCGAGCGAACGGACGAGAAGCUUGCUUCUCUGAUGUUAGCGGCGGACGGGUGAGUAACACGUGGAUAACCUACCUAUAAGACUGGGAUAACUUCGGGAAACCGGAGCUAAUACCGGAUAAUAUUUUGAACCGCAUGGUUCAAAAGUGAAAGACGGUCUUGCUGUCACUUAUAGAUGGAUCCGCGCUGCAUUAGCUAGUUGGUAAGGUAACGGCUUACCAAGGCAACGAUGCAUAGCCGACCUGAGAGGGUGAUCGGCCACCCUGGAAGUGAGACACGGUCCAGACUCCUACGAGAGGCAGCAGUAGGGAACCUUCCGCAAUGGGCGAAAGCCUGACGGAGCAACGCCGCGUGAGUGAUGACGGUCUUCGGAUCGUAAAACUCUGUUAUUAGGGAAGAACAUAUGUGUAAGUAACUGUGCACAUCUUGACGGUACCUAAUCAGAAAGCCCCGGCUAACUACGUG